rnacentral:rRNA from 1 species
UACGUAGGGACCAAGCGUUGUUCGGAUUUACUGGGCGUAAAGGGCGCGUAGGCGGCGUGACAAGUCACUUGUGAAAUCUCUGAGCUUAACUCAGAACGGCCAAGUGAAACUGUUGUGCUAGAGUGCAGAAGGGGCAAUCGGAAUUCUUGGUGUAGUGGUGAAAUGCGUAGAGAUCGGGAGGAACACCAGUGGCGAAGGCGGCUCGCUGGGCCGGACCUGACGCUGAGACGCGAAGGCGUGGGGAGCGAACGGG